rnacentral:rRNA from 1 species
UGCGCAGGCGGUUUUGUAAGACAGGCGUGAAAUCCCCGGGCUUAACCUGGGAAUUGCGCUUGUGACUGCAAAGCUGGAGUGCGGCAGAGGGGGAUGGAAUUCCGCGUGUAGCAGUGAAAUGCGUAGAUAUGCGGAGGAACACCGAUGGCGAAGGCAAUCCCCUGGGAUAAUACUGACGCUCAUGCACGAAAGCGUGGGGAGCAAACAGGAUUCGAUACCCGCGUA